GGACAGGUGUGGGGCCGGGCAGGUUCCUGUACCUGAGCGCCAUGGAGCGCGGGGAGCUGGCCAAGAAGAUCGGCACCACACCUGACAUCAUCCUGGACGACCUCCUGGAGAUCGACCGAGUCACCGCCCACUUCUGAGGGACCCAAAACCCCCAAAAAAAACCCAAAAAUCCCCCCAAAAAGUCCCGAAAAUUCCCUAAAAAUUUAAAAUUAAAAAAAAAAAUCCCCCAAAACCUCCCAAAAAUCCCCAAAAUUUCCCCAAAACUCCCUGUUUGUAAUAAAACGCAACUUUCGGCUCCGG